rnacentral:rRNA from 1 species
UACGUAGGUGGCAAGCGUUAUCCGGAAUUAGUGGGCGUAAAGCGCGCGUAGGCGGUUUUUUAAGUCUGAUGUGAAAGCCCACGGCUCAACCGUGGAGGGUCAUUGGAAACUGGAAAACUUGAGUGCAGAAGAGGAAAGUGGAAUUCCAUGUGUAGCGGUGAAAUGCGCAGAGAUAUGGAGGAACACCAGUGGCGAAGGCGACUUUCUGGUCUGUAACUGACGCUGAUGUGCGAAAGCGUGGGGAUCAAACAGGAUUAGAUA